GACGAACGCUGGCGGCGUGCUUAACACAUGCAAGUCGAGCGGAGAGGCCCUUUUGGGGGUACUCGAGCGGCGAACGGGUGAGUAACACGUGAGUAAUCUGCCCUUCACUCUGGGAUAACUGCCUGAAAGGGUGGCUAAUACUGGAUGCGACCAACUGCUGCAUGGUGUGUUGGUGGAAAGCGUUUAGUGGUGGGGGAUGUGCUCGCGGCCUAUCAGCUUGNGGUGGGGUAAUGGCCUACCAAGGCUUUGACGGGUAGCCGGCCUGAGAGGGUGACCGGCCACACUGGGACUGAGACACUGCCCAGACUCCUACGGGAGGCUGCAGUCGAGAAUCUUCGGCAAUGGGCGCAAGCCUGACCGAGCGACGCCGCGUGGAGGAUGAAGGCC
rnacentral:rRNA from 1 species